rnacentral:tRNA from 1 species
GUGGGUACAGCUCAGUGGUAGAGCAUGUGCUUAGCAUGCAUGAGGUCCUGGGUUCUAUCCCUAAUAUUUUCA